CAAUCACCAUGUACCAGCUGACCGCACCUAUCCAGUGAGAACGGAGCGCCGGCGCAGGGUCGCGCCGAUGACGUCACUGGACUCCAGCUGGACGGAGCGGAGGCUGUCUCUUCACGUAGGGAAAUGUGGCCACACCUGCCUGAUUUGGCCACUCCCCCUCAGAGUCACCGUGGCCCUACAGCUGAGUCUCCAUAGCCCUGGAUACUUUUUCGUAUUACUUAAAUCCUCUGCGUGGGGCAAAGAGGAAAGCGCAGGAAGCUUAAUGAAGAGGAAGAAAACAAACUGCGCCCUUAAAUAACCCAGACAGCGGUGUGAUCGCUCUAUGUAAGGAAUAGGCUUUUCCUGACUGUUGUGGGGAUCCUAUUCGGCAAGUGAUUCACACACCUUAUUAUUAUUACUGUUGUUAUUAUGAUGAUGAUGAUGAUGAUGAUGAUGAUGAUGAUGAUGAUGACGACUAUGGGUGUUAUAACCUAUAAAGUGAGAAAACCUGACAAGAUCCCUACGUUACAUAACAUAUUGAGUACAUGACUGUAGGGAUCACACAGUUUAUCAGUACAUUAUGUAAUGUACUGUUGGUAGAAGAUAUGAA